UCCGAAGGGGGCUAGCGUUGUUCGGAAUCACUGGGCGUAAAGGGCGCGUAGGCGGCCGAUCAAGUCGGGGGUGAAAGCCUGUGGCUCAACUCCAGAACUGCCUUUGAUACUGAGGACCUUGAGUUCGGGAGAGGUGAGUGGAACUGCGAGUGUAGAGGUGAAAUUCGUAGAUAUUCGCAAGAACACCAGUGGCGAAGGCGGCUCACUGGCCCGAUACUGACGCUGAGGUGCGAAAGCGUGGGGAGCAAACAGG
rnacentral:rRNA from 1 species